UGAGACACGGCCCGAACUCCUACGGGAGGCAGCAGUGGGGAAUAUUGGACAAUGGGGGCAACCCUGAUCCAGCCAUGCCGCGUGUGUGAAGAAGGCCCUCGGGUUGUAAAGCACUUUCAGCGAGGAAGAACGCCUAGCGGUUAAUACCCGCUAGGAAAGACAUCACUCGCAGAAGAAGCACCGGCUAACUCCGUGCCAGCAGCCGCGGUAAUACGGAGGGUGCAAGCGUUAAUCGGAAUUACUGGGCGUAAAGCGCGCGUAGGUGGCUUGAUAAGCCGGUUGUGAAAGCCCCGGGCUCAACCUGGGAACGGCAUCCGGAACUGUCAAGCUAGAGUGCAGGAGAGGAAGGUAGAAUUCCCGGUGUAGCGGUGAAAUGCGUAGAGAUCGGGAGGAAUACCAGUGGCGAAGGCGGCCUUCUGGACUGACACUGACACUGAGGUGCGAAAGCGUGGGUAGCAAACAGGAUUAGAUACCCUGGUAGUCCACGCCGUAAACGAUGUCGACCAGCCGUUGGGUGCCUAGCGCACUUUGUGGCGAAGUUAACGCGAUAAGUCGACCGCCUGGGGAGUACGGCCGCAAGGUUAAAACUCAAAUGAAUUGACGGGGGCCCGCACAAGCGGUGGAGCAUGUGGUUUAAUUCGAUGCAACGCGAAGAACCUUACCUACUCUUGACAUCCUGCGAAUUCGGUAGAGAUACCUUAGUGCCUUCGGGAACGCAGAGACAG
rnacentral:rRNA from 1 species